rnacentral:rRNA from 1 species
AAGUCGAGCGGAAAGGCCUUUCGGGGGUACUCGAGCGGCGAACGGGUGAGUAACACGUGAGUAAUCUGCCCUUGGCUUCGGGAUAGCCACCGGAAACGGUGAUUAAUACCGGAUACGACACAUCACUGCAUGGUGCGUGUGUGGAAAGUUUUUUCGGCCAGGGAUGUGCUCGCGGCCUAUCAGCUUGUUGGUGGGGUAAUGGCCUACCAAGGCUUCGACGGGUAGCCGGCCUGAGAGGGUGACCGGCCACACUGGGACUGAGACACGGCCCAGACUCCUACGGGAGGCAGCAGUGGGGAAUAUUGGACAAUGGGCGGAAGCCUGAUCCAGCAACGCCGCGUGAGGGAUGACGGCCUUCGGGUUGUAAACCUCUUUCAGCACAGACGAAGCGCAAGUGACGGUAUGUGCAGAAGAAGGACCGGCCAACUACGUGCCAGCAGCCGCGGUAAUACGUAGGGUCCGAGCGUUGUCCGGAAUUAUUGGGCGUAAAGGGCUCGUAGGCGGUUUGUCGCGUCGGGAGUGAAAACACCGGGCUUAACUCGGUGCUUGCUUUCGAUACGGGCAGACUAGAGGUAUUCAGGGGAGAACGGAAUUCCUGGUGUAGCGGUGAAAUGCGCAGAUAUCAGGAGGAACACCGGUGGCGAAGGCGGUUCUCUGGGAAUAUCCUGACGCUGAGGAGCGAAAGUGUG